UAAUACGUAGGUGGCAAGCGUUGUCCGGAUUUAUUGGGUUUAAAGGGUGCGUAGGCGGUUCUCUAAGUCAGUUGUGAAAUACGGCAGCUUAACUGUCGAGGUGCAAUUGAUACUGGAGAACUUGAGUACUGAUGAGGUAGGCGGAAUGGACGGUGUAGCGGUGAAAUGCUUAGAUAUCGUCCAGAACACCGAUAGCGAAGGCAGCUUACUAAGGAGUAACUGACGCUGAGGCACGAAAGUGUGGGGAUCAAACAGG
rnacentral:rRNA from 1 species